rnacentral:lncRNA from 1 species
UACUUUGACCAAGUAUGUUACUAUUUUUUCUAAUUCUGAAAGUACACUUCCCAAAAUAGAACUCCCAACUCCCUCUCAAUUCUAUGUUUGUCAUUUAUUCUUCUCCUUGUAUAGAUACUUUCUAAUUUAUAAUCUUUGUAAAUAACUUUAAGGACUUAUUAGUCAUUUUAACAGAAUAAUCUAACCAAACACAUGAACCGCUACUUCCUAAGCACGUAAUUGCUGAUUAAUAAAAUCAAUCUCAAUAC